UUGAUCUCAAAUCAGGUAGGACUACCCGCUGAACUUAAGCAUAUCAAUAAGCGGAGGAAAAGAAACUAACAUGGAUUCCCCUAGUAACUGCGAGUGAAGCGGGAAAAGCUCAAAUUUAAAAUCUGGUGGUCUUGUGGCCAUCCGAGUUGUAAUCUGGAGAAGCGUUUAUCCGCGUUGGACCGUGUACAAGUCUCCUGGAAGGGAGCGUCGUAGAGGGUGAGAAUCCCGUCUUUGACACGGACUACCAAUGCUUUUGUGAUGCGCUCUCGAAGAGUCGAGUUGUUUGGGAAUGCAGCUCAAAAUGGGUGGUAAAUUCCAUCUAAAGCUAAAUAUUGGCGAGAGACCGAUAGCGAACAAGUACCGUGAGGGAAAGAUGAAAAGCACUUUGGAAAGAGAGUUAAACAGUACGUGAAAUUGUUGAAAGGGAAACGUUUGAAGUCAGUCGCGUUGGCCGAGACUCGGCCCAGCUCCCGCUCGGUGCACUUCUCGGUCGACGGGUCAGCAUCAAUUUUGACCGCCGGAUAAAGGUUGGGGGAAUGUGGCAUCUUUCGGGAUGUGUUAUAGCCCUCGAUUCGCAUACGGCGAUUGGGAUUGAGGAACUCAGCGCGCCUUUAUGGUCGGGGUAAUCACCCACGUAACGCGCUCAGGAUG
rnacentral:rRNA from 1 species